rnacentral:rRNA from 1 species
AACGAACGCUGGCGGCAUGCCUAACACAUGCAAGUCGAACGAGACCUUCGGGUCUAGUGGCGCAAGGGUGCGUAACGCGUGGGAACCUGCCCUUAGGUUCGGAAUAACUCCCCGAAAGGGGUGCUAAUACCGGAUAAUGUCUUCGGACCAAAGAUUUAUCGCCUUUGGAUGGGCCCGCGUUGGAUUAGCUAGUUGGUAGGGUAAAAGCCUACCAAGGCGACGAUCCAUAGCUGUGCUGAGAGGAUGAUCAGCCACACUGGGACUGGGACACGGCCCAGACUCCUACGGGAGGCAGCGGGGGGGAAUAUGGGACAGGGGACGAAAGCCUGAUCCAGCAAGGCGGGGUGAGGGAUGAGGCCCUUGGGGUUGUAAAGCUCUUUACCCGGGAUGAUAAUGACAGUACCGGGAGAAUAAGCACCGGCUAACUCCGUG